AAGUCGUAACAAGGUUUCCGUAGGUGAACCUGCGGAAGGAUCAUUACCAAUUCGAAUUGGUGUGCGUUGUGUGUGUGUUCCACACACCACCAAACGCACGCCAAACUCUACCAACCUUUGAUUGUGAACCAUGAGAUUCAAACACAUAGUCUUCCCGUUUUUUGCUUUGCGAAAAGCGGGGAGCAAUUUUAUCCAACCCCAAUUAUAUUCUUCACACCACCACCACGCGUGUGUGUGUGGGGAACAAAAGCAAGCGUUGAGCUCCGAAAGGAAAAAACAGAAUGUCAUGUACAACUUUUAACAACGGAUCUCUUGGCUCCA
rnacentral:misc_RNA from 1 species